rnacentral:rRNA from 1 species
AGCGUGCGCAGGCGGUUAUGUAAGACAGAUGUGAAAUACCCCGGGCCUCAACCUGGGAACUGCAUUAGUGACUGCAUAGCUGGAGUACGGCAGAGGGGGAUGGAAUUCCGCGUGUAGCAGUGAAAUGCGUAGAUAUGCGGAGGAACACCGAUGGCGAAGGCAAUCCCCUGGGCCUGUACUGACGCUCAUGCACGAAAGCGUGGGGAGCAAACAGGAUUAGAUACCCCGGU